CCUACGGGAGGCAGCAGUGGGGAAUAUUGGACAAUGGGCGAAAGCCUGAUCCAGCAAUGCCGCGUGAGUGAUGAAGGCCUUCGGGUCGUAAAGCUCUUUUACCAGGGAUGAUAAUGACAGUACCUGGAGAAUAAGCUCCGGCUAACUCCGUGCCAGCAGCCGCGGUAAUACGGAGGGAGCUAGCGUUGUUCGGAAUUACUGGGCGUAAAGAGUACGUAGGCGGUUAUUCAAGUCAGAGGUGAAAGCCCGGGGCUCAACCCCGGAACUGCCUUUGAAACUAGAUAACUAGAGUCUUGGAGAGGUUAGUGGAAUUCCGAGUGUAGAGGUGAAAUUCGUAGAUAUUCGGAAGAACACCAGUGGCGAAGGCGACUAACUGGACAAGUACUGACGCUGAGGUACGAAAGCGUGGGGAGCAAACAGGAUUAGAUACCCUGGUAGUCCACGCCGUAAACGAUGAUAACUAGUUGUUCGGUCACUUGGUGACCGGAGUGACGCAGACUACGACUAUUAAGUUACGUCCGUCCGUCGGGUAGGUACGGUCGCGAAGUAAGUAAACGUACGAAAGUAAGUUAGUACGGCGNGAGUAACGUGACCGACGACGACGACGAGGGAGGAGG
rnacentral:rRNA from 1 species